AUUGAACGCUGGCGGCAGGCCUAACACAUGCAAGUCGAGCGAGCGGCGGACGGGUGAGGAAUGUAUGGGGGCUGCCCGCUAGGGGGGGAUACCAGCGGGAAACGGUAAUUAAUCCUGCUAAUUAAGGGACAACACAUAUGGGAUUAGCUGGUGGGGGAGGGAAUGGCUCACUUGGGCGACGAUCCCUAGCUGGUUUGAGAGGAUGAUCAGCCACACUGGGACUGAGACACGGCCCAGACUCCUACGGAGGCAGCAGUGGGGAAUAUUGCACAAUGGGGGCAAGCCUGAUGCAGCCAUGCCGCGUGUAUGAAGAAGGCCCUAGGGUUGUAAAGUACUUUCAGUCGGGAGGCGUUACCGACAGAAGAAGCACCGGCUAACUCCGUGCCAGCAGCCGCGGUAAUAC
rnacentral:rRNA from 1 species